rnacentral:rRNA from 1 species
CCUACGUGAGACAGCAGUGGGGAAUAUUGCACAAUGGGGGAAACCCUGAUGCAGCGACGCCGCGUGAGUGAAGAAGUAAUUCGUUAUGUAAAGCUCUAUCAGCAGGGAAGAAAAUGACGGUACCUGAGUAAGAAGCCCCGGCUAACUACGUGCCAGCAGCCGCGGUAAUACGUAGGGGGCAAGCGUUAUCCGGAUUUACUGGGUGUAAAGGGAGCGUAGACGGCAGUGCAAGUCUGGAGUGAAAGGCGGGGGCUCAACCCCCGUACUGCUCUGGAAACUGUACGGCUGGAGUGCAGGAGAGGUAAGUGGAAUUCCUAGUGUAGCGGUGAAAUGCGUAGAUAUUAGGAGGAACACCAGUGGCGAAGGCGGCUUACUGGACUGUAACUGACGUUGAGGCUCGAAAGCGUGGGGAGCAAACAGGAUUAGAUACCCCGGUAGUC